GAUUUUUGGAAGUAUACUGGAAUCCUCGUCGGAAGACCGCCUCCACCACCGUUGUAAUGGAAUAGAUUGACCUCGAGGAGGAGGUAUUGUUUGGGAGGCUGGUUUGUUGAACUUGUGUUCGUGUUACUAAGAAAGAUAUAGUUGUUUUUGUUACGGUUGUAGUUGGUUUCAACAAUAGUCGUUUUUGUGGGAAUUUUGGUGUGUUUUUUUGCUUUUGCUUUUGUG
rnacentral:lncRNA from 1 species